rnacentral:RNase_P_RNA from 1 species
CAAGUAGCCUGAGUGGUCGCAGGCGGCGAUUUCGCCGUCUGAGGAAAGUCCGAGCUCCAUAGGGCAUGGUGCUGGGUAACACCCAGUGAAGGUGACUUCAAGGAAAGUGCCACAGAAAUCAAACCGCCCGGCAUUCCAUGUAAGUGGAAGCCAGGGUAAGGGUGAAACGGUGCGGUAAGAGCGCACCAGCGUCUGGGCGACUAGGCGGCUAGGCAAACCCCACCGGGAGCAAGACCAAAUAGGAGGAACACAGAGUUGCCCGCUCUUCCUCGGGUUAGGUCGCUUGAGGCCCAUGGCAACAUGGGUCCCAGAUAGAUGAUCACUCACGACAGAACUCGGCUUACAGGGCUACUUGUUUC